rnacentral:tRNA from 1 species
AGCAGGGUAGAGCAGCGGCUGUGCUCGUCGGCCUCAUAAGCCGAAGAUCGUGGGUUCGAAUCCCAUCCUUGCCACCA